GCAGUCGAACGGAAAGGCCCUGCUUUUGUGGGGUGCUCGAGUGGCGAACGGGUGAGUAACACGUGAGUAACCUGCCCUUGACUUUGGGAUAACUUCAGGAAACUGGGGCUAAUACCGGAUAGGAGCUCCUGCUGCAUGGUGGGGGUUGGAAAGUUUCGGCGGUUGGGGAUGGACUCGCGGCUUAUCAGCUUGUUGGUGGGGUAGUGGCUUACCAAGGCUUUGACGGGUAGCCGGCCUGAGAGGGUGACCGGCCACAUUGGGACUGAGAUACGGCCCAGACUCCUACGGGAGGCAGCAGUGGGGAAUAUUGCACAAUGGGCGGAAGCCUGAUGCAGCAACGCCGCGUGCGGGAUGACGGCCUUCGGGUUGUAAACCGCUUUCGCCUGUGACGAAGCGUGAGUGACGGUAAUGGGUAAAGAAGCACCGGCUAACUACGUGCCAGCAGCCGCGGUGAUACGUAGGGUGCGAGCGUUGUCCGGAUUUAUUGGGCGUAAAGGGCUCGUAGGUGGUUGAUCGCGUCGGAAGUGUAAUCUUGGGGCUUAACCCUGAGCGUGCUUUCGAUACGGGUUGACUUGAGGAAGGUAGGGGAGAAUGGAAUUCCUGGUGGAGCGGUGGAAUGCGCAGAUAUCAGGAGGAACACCAGUGGCGAAGGCGGUUCUCUGGGCCUUUCCUGACGCUGAGGAGCGAAAGCGUGGGGAGCGAACAGGCUUAGAUACCCUGGUAGUCCACGCUGUAAACGGUGGGUACUAGGUGUGGGGUCCAUUCCACGGGUUCCGUGCCGUAGCUAACGCUUUAAGUACCCCGCCUGGGGAGUACGGCCGCAAGGCUAA
rnacentral:rRNA from 1 species